GUAUUCAAUAUAAAUUGCUCUGAAUUAAAACACUUCUCUCAAAAAUCUAGCAAAUUUUAUCAUUGUUAAUUUCUUCAGCGAUUUCUAACAAGUUUUAUCUCCAAAGAAAAUGAUAAAGUAUACAAAAUGAAGUAUACAUAGCGCGGUUUCUCGUUGCGGUUCAAAGGCAGGAGAAAUAUGAUCGCCGUAAGCAGGGUCAAACCACUCCUUCAAACUAUAUGGAUGAUUUUUAAUUAUUGCGUAAUUCUCCAAGGGACGUUGGCGGAUCAAUGUUGAAAUUAACAAUCCGUGUAGUUUGAUGGUCUGCGGCAGUUUUGUCAAGCGGACAUCGGCUGUAGAACCGCCCGUGUAUGGUAUUAUCCUUGUCACCAUGACGGUUCAAUUUCAAGUGUACAUA
rnacentral:lncRNA from 1 species